rnacentral:rRNA from 1 species
AUUGAACGCUGGCGGCAGGCUUAACACAUGCAAGUCGAGCGGAGAUGAGGUGCUUGCACCUUAUCUUAGCGGCGGACGGGUGGGUAAUGCUUAGGAAUCUGCCUAUUAGUGGGGGACAACAUUCCGAAAGGAAUGCUAAUACCGCAUGCGUCCUACGGGAGAAAGCAGGGGAUCUUCGGACCUUGCGCUAAUAGAUGAGCCUAAGUCGGAUUAGCUAGUUGGUGGGGUAAAGGCCUACCAAGGCGACGAUCUGUAGCGGGUCUGAGAGGAUGAUCCGCCACACUGGGACGGAGACAUGGCCCAGACUGCUGCGGGAGGCAGCAGUGGGGAAUAUUGGACAAUGGGGGGAACCCUGAUCCAGCCAUGCCGCGUGUGUGAAGAAGGCCUUAUGGUUGUAAAGCACUUUAAGCGAGGAGGAGGCUACUGAGACUAAUACUCUUGGAUAGUGGACGUUACUCGCAGAAUAAGCACCGGCUAACUCUGUGCCAGCCGCCGCGGUAA